GAAAAUUACAAGCAUAAGCUUAAAACUCAAAGGACUUGGCGGCGUUUUAAACCCACCUAGAGGAGCUUGUCCUAUAACCGAUAACCCACGUUAAACCUUACCUUCUUUCGCACUCAGUCUAUAUACCGCCGUCGUUCAGCUCACCUUUUGAGAGCCUUAUUAGUAAGCAAAAUUGGUUAAGCCCAAGACGUCAGGUCGAGGUGUAACACAUAAGAAGUGAAGAGAUGAGCUACAUUUCCUACCUAAGGGUUUCCCGGAAAAUAUUUUGAAACUAAAUAUAUUGAAGAAGGAUUUAGCAGUAAGUAAAAACCAGAAAGUUUUACUGAAAUCGGCCCUGAAACGCGCACACACCGCCCGUCGUUCUCCCCAAUUUUUACUUCAUUUUUACAUUAAAAAUUUAUACCUCACAAGGGGAGGCAAGUCGUAACAUGGUAAGUGUACUGGAAAGUGCACUUGGAUAAAG
rnacentral:rRNA from 1 species